rnacentral:lncRNA from 1 species
UCUCUGAGACUCACUAGCUUCUCUCUACAGUCGAAAGUAGCACUAUAUGUAGAUAACCAAUCCAUCCCUAGAAUGACAUCAAAAUCUGUCAAAUCUAGAACCACAAGGUCAGCUGGAAGGUAUCUACCCUCUAUAAACACUGGACUGAAACGACAGACUGACACUGCCACUGAUGGGUCACAUUUAGGUCCACUGACCCAGAGAGGAUACUCUAACUCAGAACUGAUCAAACCCAAUCUCUCUAUGGCUCUCGAAGCAAUAAAGGAAUGAGAAGCACCGGGGUCCAUCAAAGCAUACACAUCGGAACACCCAAUGAUGAGAUUACC